rnacentral:rRNA from 1 species
AGAGUUUGAUCCUGGCUCAGGAUGAACGCUAGCUACAGGCUUAACACAUGCAAGUCGAGGGGAAACGACAUCGAAAGCUUGCUUUUGAUGGGCGUCGACCGGCGCACGGGUGAGUAACGCGUAUCCAACCUGCCCACCACUUGGGGAUAACCUUGCGAAAGUAAGACUAAUACCCAAUGACGUCUCUAGAAGACAUCUGAAAAGAGAUUAAAGAUUUAUCGGUGAUGGAUGGGGAUGCGUCUGAUUAGCUUGUUGGCGGGGUAACGGCCACGAAGGCGACGAUCGAGUAGGGGUUCUGAGAGGAGGUCCCCCANAUUGGAACUGAGACACGGUACCAAACUCCGUACGGGAGCA